rnacentral:rRNA from 1 species
UACAGAGGGGGCAAGCGUUGUUCGGAAUCACUGGGCGUAAAGCGCACGUAGGCGGACGUGUCAGUCAGGGGUGAAAUCCCGGAGCUCAACUUCGGAACUGCCUUUGAUACAGCACGUCUUGAGUCCGGAAGAGGUGGGUGGAAUUCCUAGUGUAGAGGUGAAAUUCGUAGAUAUUAGGAAGAACACCGGUGGCGAAGGCGGCCCACUGGUCCGGUACUGACGCUGAGGUGCGAAAGCGUGGGGAGCAAACAGG